GGUAACGCAGGUGUCCUAAGGUGAGCUCAGCUGGGCCAGAAACCCAGCGUGGAGCAUAAGGGCAAAUGCUCGCUUGAUUUUGAUUUACAGUACGAAUACAAACCGUGAAAGCGUGGCCUAACGAUCCUUUUUGGCGUUAGGAGCUUUAAGCAAGAGGUGUCAGAAAAGUUACCACAGGGAUAACUGGCUUGUGGCAGCCAAGCGUUCACAGCGACGUUGCUUUUUGAUCCUUCGAGUGCGGCUCUUCCUAU
rnacentral:rRNA from 1 species